ACUCCACUGGAACAGAAACACACAAGAUAUCGGUCAGAAAAGUUGGAAUUAUUUGAGAACAUGUUGAAUAUCAAAAGGUACAUUUUAUAAACAAUAAUCAUAACAUAACUUAUUAUUAUAUGAAUAAUAAUAGUUAUAUUUCAUCAUUUUAAUUAUUUAUCAUGUAUUUACUUUAUACUAACCAUAUUGAUUAUUCUUUUUAAAUAUUUUUUUUUAAUGUGUAUUUAAUUAUUUAUUCCACAAUUAAUAAUACUUUUAUAAUUUCACCCGGUCCCAGAUCCAUCAUUUGUUAUUUAACAACAGGAAGUACUUUUAAUUUCUCAUCGUAACUUCUAUUUCUAUCAAUCCAGACUCUGCUGCCCCCUGCUGUUUACGGACGUCACUGCACCUUCAGAAAUGCUACACUAAGCGACACAGUUCCGCCCGUCGUCAUGCAGGAAGUAUCCGUCGGCACAGGAGCACUUCAGUCUUCGUCCUUCCUCGUCUUCAUCACAGAAAUGCUCACAGCCUCCGUUCUGCAGCAGACAGGUGUCCAGCACCGAACUCCGCUCUGCAACACAGCUCACAGGUGAGUCCGCUGAAGUUUGGGAGGCAGAAGCAGGUGAAGGAGGAACCCUGAGAAGAGCAGCUGCCUCCGUUCAGACAUGGACCAGAAACACACACCUCCGCUACUACACACAGGAAGCUCCGAACAGCUCGAUGUUUACGUGAGCUAACAUGCUAACGUAGCUCAAAGCAGCAGCAGCAGAGGAGAGAGGAUUUACAAGGAGAAGAAGAAGAAGAAGAAGAAGACUGACCUCCAGGAAGCCCAGUGCAUGCUGGGAUAGCGACGAUGAGGAGGAAGAAGAGUCGGCUGGUGUCUGAGCGGACGGACGCCAUGUUUGAUCUGAUCAAAGGUCAGAAAAACAGAAACGCUCCGAGAGCCUCUGAGCACACGAGUCCUGAAGUACUCUGAAACCCCCACUCUUUAUAUUCAUUUCAAAUACUUUCUCCUUUCUUUAGAGUCUCAGCUUUUCUCCUGAUGUUUCACCUUUACUUUAUUUAAAGAAGGAUAAAUGGACACUUUAAACACAUCUUUCAAACAAAAGAAGAAUACAUUAUAUUUAGACACACAGCUAAUUCUAUUUUUCCAAAUAAAAGCCCCUAAAUAAACACCUUAGUGUUCAGAUCUACAUCCCAUGAUGUCCUCAAUGCUUAGUGUUCAGAUAUACAUCCCAUGAAGUCCUCAAUGCCUAGUGUUCAGAUAUACAUCCCAUGAUGUCCUCAAUGCUUAGUGUUCAGAUAUACAUCCCAUGAAGUCCUCAAUGCCUAGUGUUCAGAUAUACAUCCCAUGAUGUCCUCAAUGCUUAGUGUUCAGAUAUACAU